AAUCCAUAGGUUAAUGAGGCGAACCGGGGGAACUGAAACAUCUAAGUACCCCGAGGAAAAGAAAUCAACCGAGAUUCCCCCAGUAGCGGCGAGCGAACGGGGAGGAGCCCAGAGCCUGAAUCAGCAUGUGUGUUAGUGGAAGCGUCUGGAAAGGCGCGCGAUACAGGGUGACAGCCCCGUACACAAAAGCGCAUGUGCUGUGAGCUCGAUGAGUAGGGCGGGACACGUGGUAUCCUGUCUGAAUAUGGGGGGACCAUCCUCCAAGGCUAAAUACUCCUGACUGACCGAUAGUGAACCAGUACCGUGAGGGAAAGGCGAAAAGAACCCCGGCGAGGGGAGUGAAAAAGAACCUGAAACCGUGUACGUACAAGCAGUGGGAGCCCCACCACCAAAGCAUUUGCUGUACCGCGUUGACGGAGCGAAGCGACGUCAAACCGAUAAAACAGCAGUGUAAAGUGAGCCGCAG
rnacentral:rRNA from 2 species